AGUAGACGCUGAAGGAGGAGCUUGCUCUUCUGGAAGAGUUGCGAACGGGUGAGUAACGCGUAGGUAACCUGCCUCUUAGCGGGGGAUAACUAUUGGAAACGAUAGCUAAUACCGCAUAAAAGUCGACAUUGCAUGAUGUUGACUUGAAAGGUGCAAUUGCAUCACUAAGAGAUGGACCUGCGUUGUAUUAGCUAGUUGGUGAGGUAACGGCUCACCAAGGCGACGAUACAUAGCCGACCUGAGAGGGUGAUCGGCCACACUGGGACUGAGACACGGCCCAGACUCCUACGGGAGGCAGCAGUAGGGAAUCUUCGGCAAUGGGGGCAACCCUGACCGAGCAACGCCGCGUGAGUGAAGAAGGUUUUCGGAUCGUAAAGCUCUGUUGUAAGAGAAGAACGAGUGUGAGAGUGGAAAGUUCACGCUGUGACGGUAUCUUACCAGAAAGGGACGGCUAACUACGUGCCAGCAGCCGCGGUAAUACGUAGGUCCCGAGCGUUAUCCGGAUUUAUUGGGCGUAAAGCGAGCGCAGGCGGUUAGAUAAGUCUGAAGUUAAAGGCUGUGGCUUAACCAUAGUACGCUUUGGAAACUGUUUAACUUGAGUGCAGAAGGGGAGAGUGGAAUUCCAUGUGUAGCGGUGAAAUGCGUAGAUAUAUGGAGGAACACCGGUGGCGAAAGCGGCUCUCUGGUCUGUAACUGACGCUG
rnacentral:rRNA from 1 species